rnacentral:misc_RNA from 1 species
GAAUCAGGUGUUUAAGAGAUGCACCACCCUGCUUCAGAGGUUAAUGAAGCACAAGCAUGGGUGGGUGUUUAAUGAGCCAGUGAAUGUGGAGCGUCUGGGGCUGCAUGAUUAUCAUGCUAUCAUCAAGCAUCCUAUGGAUUUGGGCACUAUCAAAGCUAGGCUAUCUCAAAAUUGGUACAAGUCCCCCAGGGAGUUUGCUGAGGAUGUGAGACUUGUCUUUCAUAAUGCCAUGACUUAUAAUCCCAAAGGACAUGAUGUUCAUCUUAUGUCGGAACAGUUGUUAAAGAUUUUUGAAGACAGGUGGGCAGUUAUAGAGGCAGAGUUUAAUCCGGAUUGGAGGUAUCAAAUGUAUCAUGAUGCAGGUUUGCCUACCCCCGCUUCAAGAAAGGUCCCUCAGCCUUCUCCCUUUGCCCGUGCUUCUGUAACUUCUCAUCCACCUGCUUCUCAAGCAAGGGCUUUGGAAAGGUCUGAGUUAAUGACUGAACCAGCUGAUUUCAGGUUCAAGCCAUCACGCGUUGCUCAUGUCGGUAGGGUACCAGUUCCUAAGAAACCUAAAGCAAAUGAUCCCAAUAAAAGGGAUAUGACCUAUGAAGAAAAACAGAGACUCAGCACACAUCUCCAGAGCUUACCUUUAGAAAAGCUUGAUGCUGUUGUUCAG